GUGCAUGGAAUUGCAGAGGUCCUUGAGAUGCCUGCCUCGAUGGCAUAAUUUCACUGGAGUCCUCUGUGUGUCUAGCGUCCUCGGAAUGAUGUCAGUGGUCCUCUCCUCAACGGUGUGAACCCUAGGAGUUUACACAGUUUCAGAUACCUGUGGACUAGCUGACGUGAUUCUCAGGAAUAGGAGAUGCCAACUGGAUGACAGCGUGUGCAUGAUUUAAAGGAUUACCGAUACCUAUAGACCAGCUGAAGAGAUUCUCCAGCAGAAGAGAUUAUAAAGAAGAAGAGAUGCAAAUUGGAUGACAGUGUGUCCAAGUUUUAAAGGGAAAUUGAAAUAUCUUUGAAAUAUUUGGAAAUAUAUUUUGAAAUAUCUUGGAAAUUGAAAU